AUUGAACGCUGGCGGCAGGCCUAACACAUGCAAGUCGAGCGAGCGGCGGACGGGUGAGUAAUGUAUGGGGACUGCCCGAUAGAGGGGGAUAACUACUGGAAACGGUGGCUAAUACCGCAUACUAUCGGAUAACCCAUAUGGGAUUAGCUAGUAGGUUGGGUAAAGGCUCACCUAGGCGACGAUCUCUAGCUGGUCGGAGAGGAUGAUCAGCAACACUGUGACGGAGAAAAGUCCCGGACUCCAACGGAGGCAGCGUUGGGGAGUAUUGUACAAUGGGCGCAAGCCUGAUGCAGCCAUGCCGCGUGUAGGAAAAGGGCCUUGGGGUUGGAAAGUAAUUUCAGCGUUAAGUCGGUACCCGAAGAAGAAGCACCGGCUAACUCCGUGCCAGCAGCCGCGGUAAUAC
rnacentral:rRNA from 1 species